rnacentral:rRNA from 1 species
AUUGAACGCUGGCGGCAUGCCUUACACAUGCAAGUCGAACGGCAGCACGGACUUCGGUCUGGUGGCGAGUGGCGAACGGGUGAGUAAUGUAUCGGAACGUACCUUUCAGUGGGGGAUAACGUAGCGAAAGUUACGCUAAUACCGCAUAUUCUGUGAGCAGGAAAGCAGGGGAUCGCAAGACCUUGCGCUGAUUGAGCGGCCGAUAUCAGAUUAGCUAGUUGGUGAGGUAAAGGCUCACCAAGGCGACGAUCUGUAGCGGGUCUGAGAGGAUGAUCCGCCACACUGGAACUGAGACACGGUCCAGACUCCUACGGGAGGCAGCAGUGGGGAAUUUUGGACAAUGGGGGCAACCCUGGUCCAGCCAUGCCGCGUGAGUGAAGAAGGCCUCGGUUGGUAAAGACGUCUUUCGGUCCGGGAACGGAAAGUACGCGAUGGCGUAAUACCCUACGUGCGGAUGACGGUACCGGCGACUAAGAAGCACCGGCUAACUACGUAGCC